GAGUAAAGAUUUCGGUCGCUUUGGGAGGAGCUCGCUUACUAUCAGCUUGUUGGUAGGGUAAUGGCCUACCAAGGCUAUGACGGUUAGGGGGUGUGAGAGCAUGACCCCCAGCAUUGGCACUGAAACACUGGCCAAACACCUACGGGUGGCUGCAGUCGAGAAUCUUCCACAAUGGGGGAAACCCUGAUGGAGCGAUGCUGCGUGCGGGAUGAAGGCCUUCGGGUUGUAAACCGCUUUUGUAGGGGACGAAAUUUUUGACGGUACCCUUUCGAAUAAGAGGUUGCUAACUCUGUGUCAGCAGCAGCGGUAAUACAGAGACCUCAAGCGUUAUCCGGAUUUACUGGGCGUAAAGCGUCUGUAGGGGGUUUAUUAAGUUCCAAGUAAAAUUUCAAGGCUCAACUUUGAAUUCGCUUGGAAAACUAAUAAACUGGAGUCUAGCAGAGGUGCAUGGAACUUGUGGUGUAGGAGUGAAAUCCGUUGAUAUCACAAGGAACACCAAAGGCGAAGGCAUUGCACUGGGCUAGCACUGACCCUGAGAGACGAAAGCGUGGGGAGCAAAACGGAUUAGAUACCCGUGUAGUCCACGCCCUAAACGAUGAAUGCUAAAUGUUCGGGGAUUCGACCCCCUGGGUGUUACAGCUAACGCGUUAAGCAUUCCGCCUGGGAAGUACGGCCGCAAGGCUAAAACUCAAAGGAAUAGACGGGGAUCCGCACAAGCGGUGGAGCGUCUGGUUUAAUUCGACAGUAAGCGUGGUACCUCACCAGGGUUUGACAUCCCUUGACAGCCUUGGAAACAAGGUUUCCUUCGGGCAAGGUGACAGGUGCUGCAUGGUCGUCGUCAGUUCGUGCCGUGAGGUGUUCCGUUAAGUCGGGAAACGAACGAAACCCCUAUUGCAUGUUACAAUUUCUCAUGCAAGACUGCCCGGAUAUACUGGGAGGAAGGUGGGGAUGACGUCAGAUCUGCAUGGUCCUUAUACCCUGGGCGACACAGGCGCUACAAUGGCAGAGACAAAGGGUUGCAAAACCGCAAGGUGAAGCUAAUCCCAAAAACUUUGUCUAAGUUCGGAUUGAAGGCUGCAAUUCGCCUUCAUGAAGCUGGAAUCGCUAGUAAUCGUGAAUCAGCCACGUCACGGUGAAUAUGUUCCCGGAUCUUGUACUCACCGCCCGUCACACCAAGAGAGUUGGUAGCUCCCGAAG
rnacentral:rRNA from 1 species